rnacentral:rRNA from 1 species
AGACUCAUAUCACUAAGCGGAGGAAAAGAAACCAACAGGGAUUCCCCGAGUAGCUGCGAGCGAAACGGGACCGAGCCCAGCACCGAAUCCCCCGUCCUUGCAGGCGGUCGGGAAAUGUGGUGUAUGGGAGGCGACGUUCUCGGGUGUUUGCGACGGUGCAAGUCCCCCUGACAGGGGCUUGUCCCAGAGUGGGUGCCAGGCCCGUCUCCGCCGUUGCGCGCCCGGGAUGGAGCCUCCCGUGAGUCGGGUUGCUUGAGAGUGCAGCCCGAAGCCCUAAGUGGGUGGUGGUAAACUCCAUCUAAGGCUAAAUACGACCGAGAGACCGAUAGUUCAUAAGUACCGUGAGGGAAAGUUGAAAAGAACUUUGAAGAGAGAGUUCAAGAGUACGUGAAACCGCUUAGAGUAAAACGGGUGGGCCCUCGAAGCUCGAAAGCGGUGGGAUUCAGUCUCCGGACGAUCGCGGAGCCGGCGGCGUCAGGUAAACGGUCCCCUUCGGGGGACUGUUCCGGCUGCUGGCACGCAGACGCGGUCUCCGGGGUGCGCACUUCCCACCGCCGGUAGGACGCCGCGACGGACGCGGGUCAAAGGGAACAAGCACGACUUUGAGUCCGGCAGUGGAGGUGACCUGCCCGUCUCUUCGGAGACGGCACGCGGGAGUUAUACCACGCCGUGCACGAAAAGUUCGUCUCGUCACCCCGUCCAGGCCCCAUGGGCUUCUCCCGGUUGUCGGGAGGCCCGAACGAUGACGCCCUCCGGAAACGGAGCGGAGAACCCGCUGGGCAAGCUUGUCGUGUCCUGCUGUCCGGGUUGGUCCCGCGGCGGCGGGUUGGUUGGCCGGCGAGAAGCCUCUGCGAGCGGGGCUAUUCUCCCGCGGAGGCGCUAUCGUGGUUUGCGGCGAGUAGGUCGGUAACCCACCCGACCCGUCGUUGCAAACAGCGGCACCAAGGAGUCUAGAGACAUGCUGCGCCGCAAAGUCAAUGGGGUUGUGUCGUCCGGAAAACCCAAUUGGCGCAAUGAAAACGGUGCAAGGCCCCUAGCGGGCUGCGUUGCGAGUCGCCGGACCGUCACACGGGGUCCGAUAAAAGGGGCGCCAGAACGGGCGCCGUCCCAGGGCGCUUCACACGUCCUCGCGCGGGGGCGGAUGCCGAGAGCGCACACGUUGCACUGCCGAAAGAUGGUGGAGGGGACUAAUUGCCCUGGCAGAGGCCAGAGGAAACUCUGGUGGAGGUCCGAAGCGAUUCUGACGUGCAAAUCGAUCGUCCGAUCCGGGUAUAGGGGCGAAAGACCAAUCGAACCAUCUAGUAGCUGGUUCCCUCCGAAGUUUCCCUGUCGCUCGGAUAGCUGGCGCCUGCGAUGGGAGCCAGUCACACCUGGUAAAGCGAAUGAUUAGAGGCAUUGGGGUCGAAACGUCCUCAACCUAUUCUCAAACUUUCAAUGGGUGUACGGGAGGCCUUCUGGGUUGAGGCCUCCCGCUGCGAUGAGAGUGCCAAGUGGGCCACUUUUGGUAAGCAGAACUGGCGCUGUGGGAUGAACCAAACGCCGGGGUAAGGCGCCCGAGUCGGGACGCUCAUGAGAACCCAUGAAGGGUGUUGGUUGCUUAAGACAGCAGGACGGUGGCCAUGGAAGUCGGAAUCCGCUAAGGAGUGUGUAACAACUCACGCCUGCCGAAGCAACUAGCCCCGAAAAUGGAUGGCGCUCUAGCGUCGCGCCUAUCCCCGGCCGUCGCUGGCAGAAAAGCACGAAAUGUGGGGGUGCUAAGCCGCGACGAGUAGGAGGGCCGCAGCGGUGUGCGUUGAAGGUGUCGGGCGUGAGCCCGCCUGGAGCCGCCGCUGGUGCAGAUCUUGGUGGUAGUAGCAAAUACUCAAGUGAGAACCUUGAGGACUGAAGUGGACAAGGGUUCCAUGUGAACAGCAGUUGAACAUGGGUCAGUCGGUCCUUAGGGAAAGGAUAAAUCCUUUCAGAAGCGGGCGCGUUUGUGCAGCUCAGUCUGUGAUACGGAGACGCCCCGCUGCAACCAAAAGGGAAUCGGGUUAACAGUCCCGAACCCGGCUACGGAGAUCGGCUCUUCGGAGCCCAGUGCGGCAACGCAAACCAGCUCGGAGACGCCGAUGGGAGCCCCGGGAAGAGUUUUCUUUUCUCUGUAAGGAGAUCGAGUCCCUGGAAUGGGUUCACCCCGAGAUAGGGACGGUGGCUCCGUAGAGCAGUGCGGUGCUCUUUGCGCGUGUCCCGUGGCGCUCCGUGGUCGGCCUUGAAAAUCCGAGUUGAGGAGUGUGAUUUCGUGCCGGGGACGCUGACCGUACCCACGAUCCCGCAGCAGGUCUCCAAGGUGAACAGCCUCUAGUCGAUAGACCAAUGUAGGUAAGGGAAG